CCUACGGGCGGCAGCAGUGGGGAAUAUUGGACAAUGGGGGGAACCCUGAUCCAGCCAUGCCGCGUGUGUGAAGAAGGCCCUCGGGUUGUAAAGCACUUUCAGUGAGGAAGAACGCCUGGUGGUUAAUACCCAGCAGGAAAGACAUCACUCACAGAAGAAGCACCGGCUAACUCCGUGCCAGCAGCCGCGGUAAUACGGAGGGUGCGAGCGUUAAUCGGAAUUACUGGGCGUAAAGCGCGCGUAGGUGGCUUGAUAAGCCGGUUGUGAAAGCCCCGGGCUCAACCUGGGAACGGCAUCCGGAACUGUCAAGCUAGAGUGCAGGAGAGGAAGGUAGAAUUCCCGGUGUAGCGGUGAAAUGCGUAGAGAUCGGGAGGAAUACCAGUGGCGAAGGCGGCCUUCUGGACUGACACUGACACUGAGGUGCGAAAGCGUGGGUAGCGAACAGGAUUAGAUACCCCUGUAGUC
rnacentral:rRNA from 1 species